rnacentral:other from 1 species
CAAACCCUGCCUUUCUCGAUAAUCAGCAACUUAAAUAACCCAACACUUUUAUCUUCGGGAAUCAGGCUCCGAGUGCAGAUUGCAGACCUCCCGUUCAAACGGAAGAAGGGAGCGAGAAACACACGGGAUGAUACCCACCUGCUUUGACGCAGGUUAUUAUCAGUACUGACGGCUGGGCGGGGAUAUA